rnacentral:rRNA from 1 species
AACUUUCAACAAUGGAUCUCUUGGUUCCGGCAUCGAUGAAAAACGCAGCGAAAUGCGAUAACUAAUGUGAAUUGCAGAAUUCAGUGAAUCAUCGAGUCUUUGAACGCACAUUGCGCCCCCUGGUAUUCCGGGGGGCAUGCCUGUCCGAGCGUCAUUG